UACAGAGGGUGCAAGCGUUAAUCGGAAUUACUGGGCGUAAAGCGUGCGCAGACGGUUGCGUAAGUCAGAUGUGAAAGCCCCGGGCUCAACCUGGGAAUUGCAUUCGAGACUGCUCUGCUAGGGUGCGGAAGAGGGGAGCGGAAUUUCCGGUGUAGCGGUGAAAUGCGUAGAUAUCGGAAGGAACACCAGUGGCGAAAGCGGCUCCCUGGUCCAGCACCGACGUUCAGGCACGAAAGCGUGGGGAGCAAACAGG
rnacentral:rRNA from 1 species